CUAAACAAAAAGCUGAGUUCCAGCCCAGCUUUACAGAAAAGCUGCGUGGGACCAUGAUCCAGCCUUUGCAGGCUUCUCCUACCUUGUGUGUAAAGGAGGGCUGGGAGCUAAAGAAUUUCAAAACUGGAGAGGCCUGUAACUCCAUUUUUAAGUAAAUGCGAACAUGAGGAGAGUACCAGGGAUCGAACUCACAACUGCCUGCUUGCAAAGCAGACGCUUAUGCCACUGAGCUAAAUCCCCAGCCCCUAUUGAUAAACUCUUGACACAGACCCGGAAGGAACAGUCUUGCAAUCCUUGCCCAUAGGGAUGCAAGAAGUACAUCAAAGUGCCUGCAGGCAACGUGGGGCCUGUUAGGCUUCAUUGAAGAGUGCAGCAUUAAUCAUGUGGCGAGUACAACUCUGAAAUGUAAAAGAUGAAACUCCACAUGAGAGCAAUGCUAAAAUUUCCCUGAAGAAAUUAAGGUCUGUGGGUUUGAAUACUUUCCAAUAUUACUAUACAAAGAAGAUGGGAAGAUCGAAGAGAAAACAGAUAAAAGGGAACACAGAAAAAGAGGAUGAGCAGCACAGCACCUGCCUGGCAGAUGGGAGGCCCGGAGUUAGAUUCCCAGUACCAAACAUAAAUAAAUAAAGGUGGGAAGAGAAGAAAGGCCAACUUGUGAAUGCCACACACCCAGCACUAGGCUGGAACAUUGCAUCCCACAGUGUAUCUCAGCCUUUCCACAAAGGCAGGGAGGGGCUUCCUGUAAGACCAAAAAGGUUGAUGGGGGACACAGACUGCUGGGUUUGGUGACACACCUGAAACCCCAGCUGCUCGGGGCUCAGGGAAAGAUCAAAAGUUUGAGGCCAGCUCAAUUUAAGAGAGACCCUGUCUUGAAAAAAGAGUAGUGGUGUUCUAGGAAUGUUGCACAGUAGAAAAAAAAAAAAAAAAAACUGGAUUCCAUCUCCAGUACUGCAAAACAAAAGAAAAUCAAUUAAAUGAUUUAUAUCUCCAAUGGGAGGUCUAGUUGGUUAGGCAAAAACUGCUUGCCUCAUUUCAUUUAAAAGAAAAGUCUUAAGAUGGGCAGUUAUGGACCAGAGAUCAGUAAACUACAGCCACUAAGCUAAAUCUACUCUGCUUGUUUUUGGAUAGCCUGGGAGUCAAAAAAGAUUUCUGCUUUUUUAUUUUCAACAAAUGGUCUCGUCAUUUGCAGACUGCAGGGAAAGAGAACAAGAAGUCAACAAGAAGCAAGCCCUCCUUGCGAACCAGCACCAUGCAGGGUCCACCACCAAGGGAUAGGUAGCCCCCGGCCCCUUCUGCUGUGCAGGCUGGGAAACAAGAAGAGCCAACCCUGCUCCCCACCCCAAGCAACCAGCUGAUCGGAAGAAACACAGGCUGCUAUGAUAGCUAUUGUGCAAUGCAAUUUGAUGCUUGUGGUGCUUCGUGUUUCACUGACUUUGCAGGUCUAGGGCCAGUAGUCUGAUCAUCUAUCCAGAGGAUAAUGGUACACAGUGAGGCAUCUGGGGGGAUCUGAAAGUGGUAGCCAUUGCCUAUUGAAGUCUUGUAUCAUUUUCAUUGUUGGGUUGGGUUUUCUGUUUUGUUUGAUUUUGUUAUAUCUGAUGGCAUGAGCAGCUAUUUCAAAGAUAACAAGAUAUAUUAUGGUAGUCAUGUUGGAUUUACUAUUGUCUUCAAGUCCUUUAUUGUAUUCAUUGUUUUGUUUUUAUUGGUUCUGUUCUAUUUUGUUGCAUUUUUACUAUGUCGCUAUCUACAGAUAUUUUGAAGACAACAAGAGUCAUUAUGGUAACCAUUGUUAUUUUCUUUUGUUUUGAAGGCCUCUGUCACUUAUACUGUUUUGUUUUGAUUGGCUUUGUUCCAUUUUGCUUGGUUUUACUCUCUUUAAAAUAAAAAAGUCUCACUAUGUUGCCCAGGCUUCCCCUGAACUUCCAGGGUCAAGCAAGCCUUCAUCAGCUUCCUGAAUAGCUGGGGCUUCAGAUACAUGCUGCUGUGCCUGGCUUACAUCAUUAAGUGUUGUAAAAUAUAAAAAGAAUGUUUCAUGACACUAAAAUUCAGUAAAAUUUACUCAAGCAUAGUGGCUAUAGGAAGGCUGAGGCAGGUAGAUUGCUAUGAGUUUCAGGCCAGCCUGAGCUACAUAGUUCAAGGCCUGCUGGACUGCAUAAAAAGACCUUGUUUCAAAAGAACCAAUCAAUAAGUAAAAUGAAGUGAAAUUCAAAUUUUACUCUCAUAACACAGUCACGCAUUCCUUUAUAUAUUGUCUGACUGUUUGGGCAUUGCAGUGGCAGAGUUCAGUCAUAAUUGACCCAGUAAACUAUUUUCUGUAUGACCCUUUAUAGAAAAAAUUUAUAGAUCACUGCGCUAUACCAGUGCUUCUCAAAACUAAUGAGCAUAUUUACCCAUCUUGCUAAAAUGCAGGUUCUAAUUUAGCAAGUCUGGAGUAGGGUCUAAGAUGGUACAUUUCCAGCAGUUUGAAGGUGAUUCUGAUACUAUCUGCAGACCACACAGUACCAAGGCUCUGAAAACCCAUUCCACUAAUAGAAUCUUAGUAAAUGCUUUCUAGAGAAACAAGUCUUUUUUUUUUUUUUUUUUUUUUUUUUUGUAUGGGGGAUUAAACUCACAACCUCAUGCUUGCCAAGCAGGUGCUUAUGCCACUGGACUAAAUCCCCAAGCCCUAGAGAAACAAAUCUUGGAAAAUGUGAAAAACAACCAGGCACAGUGGUGCAUAGCUAUAAUUUCAGAUGAGGUUUAGGCAGGACCAGAGAAUCACAAGUUUGAGCCCAUCCUGGGCAACUAAACCAGACCCCAGCUCAAAAAAUACAAAAAGCGGGCGGGGGAUUUAGCUCAGCAGCAUAAAUGCCUGCCUUGCAAGCUCCGGGUUGUGAGGUCAAUCCCUGGUACAAAAAAAAAAAAAAAAAAAAACCUGUUGAGAUGCAGCUCAAUGUAAAAGCCCUGGGUUCAACCUUGAGUACAAAAAAAGAAAAGAAUAGAAAAGAAACAACCCAGAAGAAAAAGAGUCAAAAUUGAGUGUAGCUGGGCAUGGUGGUAUAGACUUGCAAUCCCAGCACUGGGGAGGCUGAGGCAAGAGGACUGUUCUCAAGUUCAAGGCCAGCCUGGGCUACAAAAUGAGUUCAAAGCCAGCCUGAACUCAACAACAGAGUAAGAUCCUGUCUCAAAAAGUCAAAAAAGUUGAAAGGAACAGUUAGUGCUUAUGUUUGAUCAAUUUUGCAUGCCUAUAUCUGGUAAUCUGAGCAACUAUUUUGAAGACAACAUACAAUAUAACAACCACUGUUAAUUUCCUA